AGGUGCCAACCUGUGUUGAAGGUAUCUGUGCCAAUUUUCUCUCAUCAGUACCUCCCCAGCCCCAUAACACUGGCUGUAUGCCUCCUAUCACGACCAUGGUUAACACAAACAGGCGGGCUGUCUUUGUUUUCUGUUGCUGUCACAAGCCUGAGACUGGGGUUUUUAAAGAGCAGCUCGCGGUUCCGAGGCUGCGAAGCACAGAAGCGUGGCGCUGGCACCUGCUUGGCAGUUGGGGGCGGGGCUUUCCUUCGCACCAGGUACAGCAGAGGGCAUCACGUGACAGGCCAGGGAGGACUCCACUGUACAACCAACCCUCUCAACAGCCCAGCAGUCAACAGACCUUCACUGCGCAACCACUUCCCAAGGGAUGCUUUUGCCUCGUGUUCUUGUUCUGCAUCGUCAGCGAUCGAUCCUGAUAAGAGUCCAGGAGGGGUGUGCUGUGUACCGACGGGCGGUACUGCGCAGUGUCAGGUGGCAGCUGCGUGGGCUGCAGCGUCUGUACUCAAUCACCCUGCGCUGAGGGCUUCGCCCUGGUUCCCAAUUACAAUCCUUCAGGCGCGACACAAAAUCAUUGGACUGGAGCUGGUGGACAGGGACAGGCCGCCUGCCGUAGUUCACAACUCUGCUGGGCUUGGGCUUCCUAGGUCCACACAGGCAUCAACACAGACCUGGGCAGAGUGAGGAGAAGGGUUAGUACAUAUCUACUCCUCUCCCCGGGGAGCUGAAGGUAUGGAUUUGAUCAAAUGCUCAUUUAUCCUUUGCCCACCGCUGUCCUCCCCGCCCCGCCCCCUCGGGCCUCUUGGCAGAUAAAUGAUGUUAUUUGAAGAUAUUCUGGAAAUUUCUGACAGAGGCUGUGUCUUAAGUGCUUUUAGAGCAGGCCUAUACUUCGUAAUGCUUGUCAUGUUCUGGCUAGUAGGCUCCUGGCCUCUAAAAGCCGGAACCUCACUCCGUUUCCUGCGUGCGAGGGCUAGGUCAUUAGCUGUGAAUUUCAAAUGAAGCAGAUUUACAAUACAGAUUGCAGAAAUAUGUCGAAGAGAGACGGCGGGUUCCCAAGGAAUUCUCGGAGUUGAAAAAGACAAGUGCCCAGAGACAGGUCAGCCUGGCUGGGGAACAGGGCUUUGUGUUCAGGGUCUCGAGAGUCGAAUUGGGCAAAUUCGUGUCUCCUUUCUGGUUCCCAAGAAUCACUCCUUCUGAAGCCUGUAAAGGUGGUAUAGGCCUGUAGUCCCAGUUACCUGGGAGGCUGAGGCAGGAGGAUGACAAGUUCAUGAUCAGCCUGGUAAACUUAGUGAGCCCUCAUGUCAAAAUGGAAAGUAAAAAAGAGCUGAGGUACAGCUCACUAAAGUGCUUGCUUGGCACCGAUCGUGGGGUCCACCUUCAGCUCUUUCUGGUUCCUUCUGUUCCGUCUCCCACAUGGAGCCCGCCAGGCACGCUUUCUGGCUAAUUCUGGCUAAGGGUGGGAGGAUGGGAAGUGGGGGAGAUCUCAAGGGAACCAGAUGAGGGGGAAUCAGGGUGCAAGGCUAUGGGGGCCUAUUGCUUGAUGACACAGCCUAGGUGUCACCAUGACUUUGCCAGUGCCCUUCAGAUCUGCUAUCAGCUGACUUUAAGAAAGGGGAGUUCCCCUCUGUAAGGUGGGUGGGCCUCAUUUGAUUGGUUGAAGACUUCAAGAGCAAAACUCAGGUUU
ensembl:lncRNA